AACUUUUAGCAAUGGAUCUCUUGGCUCUCGCAUCGAUGAAGAACGCAGCGAAAUGCGAUAAGUAAUGUGAAUUCCAGAAUUCAGUGAAUCAUCGAAUCUUUGAACGCAUCUUGCGCUCCUUGGUAUUCCGAGGAGCCUGCCUGUUUGAGUGUCAUUUAACUUCUCAACCACACAUUUCAUGAUGCCUCCUGCCUCGGACGUGCGGUAUGUCUGCAGGCUUUCUGAGAAUGUAGGGCGGCUUCCCUGAAUUGUGUAAGUCGAAUCAGACGCUACUACUGUAGGUGUAAUGAUUAUCUAUGCCUUUGAUAUGCCGCAUGAAUAGAUUACACUGCUUCUAACAAAACACCUAUGUUGAUAAAUUUGACCCUUAAUCAGUGAGCACUCCCAGAGGUCCAUUGCCAUAAGUAAGGGUUCAAGUU
rnacentral:misc_RNA from 1 species